CCUACGGGUGGCUGCAGUGAGGAAUAUUGGUCAAUGGACGAGAGUCUGAACCAGCCAAGUAGCGUGAAGGAUGACUGCCCUAUGGGUUGUAAACUUCUUUUAUAUGGGAAUAAAACAGGGUAUGCAUACCCUCUUUUAUGUACCAUAUGAAUAAGGAUCGGCUAACUCGGUGCCAGCAGCCGCGGUAAUACGGAGGAUCCGAGCUUUAUCCGGAUUUAUGGGGGUUAAUGGGAGCGUAGGUGGAUUGUUAAGUCAGUUGUGAAAGUUUGCGGCUCAACCGUAAAAUUGAAGUUGAAACUGGCAGUCUUGAGUACAGUAGAGGUGGGCGGAAUUCGUGGUGUAGCGGUGAAAUGCUUAGAUAUCACGAAGAACUCCGAUUGCGAAGGCAGCUCACUGGACUGCAACUGACACUGAUGCUCGAAAGUGUGGGUAUCAAACAGGAUUAGAUACCCCAGUAGUC
rnacentral:rRNA from 1 species